CUUCAAAAAAUUGAUGUAAUCCACCCAGAUCUGGUAUGACAUGAUUUCCAUGCCAAUCUUAUCCAGAGCAAAAUCAUAUGCCUGAGCCAUUUUUUCUUUGUAACUAGGCAGCUUCCCCUUGGUUUCACGUACAUAGGAAAGGUAACAUUUCCAUAAAUCAAUGUGUAAAACUUUCAUAAGGCAUCGCUGAAAUAACUUUUCCACUUUGUCAUAAUUUUUUGCUUUAAUCUCUGCUUCAAUGUACAGUUUCCAGAAUCUGCCAGAACUGGGGAACUGGGCAACAAGGCGUUCAUAGGUCUUCCGUGCUUUGUCUAUAGGUUGAUUCUGUGCCUCUCGAAUGAGAAUGCUCCAAGCGUCAAGGUCAUAUGGAUUCUCUUCUAGUUUCUUUUCAGCUUUCUUCACUUUUUCUGGGACAUAUUCAGCAGCCUGCUCGCCGGUACCUCCCUCGCCGGACAUGGCGGAUUAAAACAGGGCUGGGGCGCUACCGCCCCCCAACAAAUUAAAACCCCUUUUAAAAGCGCCCCGAGCCGCCGCCGCCACUGCGGGCAGCUCCUCGGCCGCACCAACCGCCACGGCCCGCAGCUGCAGCAGCGCUACCAACAAAAUGGCAGCGCGGCGCCUCCGGCCCGGCUUUCCGCGGUGGCGGGGGGGGGCGGGG
rnacentral:lncRNA from 1 species